GACGCAGCGACGCCGCGUGGAAGGGAUGAAGGUCUUCGGAUCGUAAACCUCUGUCAGCAGGGAAGAACGGUCACUGUGCUAAUCAGCAGUGAAUUGACGGUACCUGCAAAGGAAGCACCGGCUAACUCCGUGCC
rnacentral:rRNA from 1 species